rnacentral:rRNA from 1 species
CCUACGGGAGGCAGCAGUGGGGAAUAUUGGACAAUGGGCGCAAGCCUGAUCCAGCAAUGCCGCGUGGGUGAAGAAGGCCUUCGGGUUGUAAAGCCCUUUUGUUGGGAAAGAAAAGCAGCCGGCCAAUACCCGGUUGUUCUGACGGUACCCGAAGAAUAAGCACCGGCUAACUUCGUGCCAGCAGCCGCGGUAAU